AAUGGGCGAAAGCCUGAUCCAGCCAUGCCGCGUGAGUGAUGAAGGCCUUCGGGUCGUAAAGCUCUGUGGGGAGGGACGAAAAAGCGUGACCUAAUACGUCUCGCCUUGACGGUACCUCCUUAGCAAGCACCGGCUAACUCCGUGCCAGCAGCCGCGGUAAUACGGAGGGUGCAAACGUUGCUCGGAAUUAUUGGGCGUAAAGCGCACGUAGGCGGUCCGCUAAGUCGGAUGUGAAAGCCCUCGGCUUAACCGAGGAAGUGCAUCCGAAACUGACGGGCUAGAGUACGGAAGAGGGUUUCGGAAUUCCCGGUGUAGAGGUGAAAUUCGUAGAUAUCGGGAGGAACACCAGUGGCGAAGGCGGAAACCUGGGCCGAUACUGACGCUGAGGUGCGAAAGCGUGGGGAGCAAA
rnacentral:rRNA from 1 species